CCUUUUAACUCCGAUAAUAAACUUUUAUUCUAUAAACGUAUUGAGUCAUUUCUGCUUUGGAGGUAGUACUACCUUGUGCAUAUAAAUUACUCUCCUACAAACUACAUACAUGUAUAUAUAUAUAUAUAUAUAUAUAUAUGAUGUUCAGUUAAUUGAAGGAAACAAAAUGGAGAGUUGAAUUGGAGAGGGAAACAUCCGUUUCCAUUAGUGCCCAAUGGAUAAAUUAAAGAUUUAAGCAUUAGAUUUGCAUUUAUAUGCUAUGAGCAUAAUUUCUUCAGAGAAACGGCUGUAAGAAGUAAA